ensembl:lncRNA
CAAUAUAAGUGCUACAAUUUGUUAGUCUUUUAGUCGAGGUAGAGUCUGAAGAGGUGAAGGGGUUCGAUGUGGCACAGGGGGUAGAGUGGGUGCGCUGGGAACCGCAAGGUUGGUGGUUUGAGUCCCGGCCGCCCUAUGUCUCAAGUCGAAGUGUCCCUGAGCAAGACACCUAACCCCUAAUUGCUCCCCAGGCAAAAAUGUAAAAGCCAUGCGUUUAAAGUGUAGUGUAAGUCGCUUUGGAUAAAAGAAUCAGCUAAAUGACCUGUAAUGUAAUGUAAUGUCUUUAGUUUGCGGCGGAAGAUGUGAAGGCUCUCCUGGCGGUCCUGGUGUCUUCAGAGAGCUCGUUCCACCAUUUUGGAGCAAGGACAACAAAGAGUCGAGAUCUAGUGGAGUGUUUUGCUCUCAGUGAGAUUUCUGAGAAGCACGAUGGGCCCCUGUCAGCCAUAACCGCAGCUGCUGAGGACAACAAGCUUGUGACAGAAGAGCAACCUAAACCCUCUGAUCCAGAAACCCAGCAGGACACAGACGAACACCACACCAAAGCUGAGGAAAAGGACACUGACCAGCAGGUCACAGAUAAUGCCCCCAGUCCAGAGUCGCACGAAAGACAACCGUCUGAGGUGGGUAUCCCUCCCCUCCCAGAGGCCCUCAGCACUGAGGUCAAGCAGGAGUCUGCAGAAAUGCCUGUUGAACAAAGCAAAGUGGAGGAGGAGAAAACGGAGGUGGAGCCGAGUGGGGAGGAGAGAAGUGCAACCCCCAAUCAAAUAGAAGAGGAAAAAGUGGACGAAGAUAAAGAAAAGGUGAUGAGACACUUUUUGUGGAAAAUUACAUCCGUGCCAUUCCAGCACCACAAGGGUUUAACCGUUAAAAGGCAAAGCACCAACUCAUGUUUUUAUGUCGCGCAACUUCUCUGCAGGUCGCUAUUAAAGCGGUCGUUGAUGAAGCGGUCGUUGAUGAAGCGGUCGUUGAAGAAGCGGCCGUUGAUGAAGCGGUCGUUGAAGAAGCGGCCGUUGAUGAAGCGGUCGCUGAUGAAGCGGCCGUUGAUGAAGCGGCCGUUGAAGAAGCGGCCGUUGAAGAAGCGGCCGUUGAUGAAGCGGUCGCUGAUGAAGCGGACAUGACCGAAGCGUUGCACUCGACUCCCAGUCGAGUCCCCUCCGACUUGAAACCAGAAGAUCUGCCGAACAGACACAUCCCUCAAGAUGCAGAGAAGAUUGAUGGAGAGGAAACCGGUAAGUUGGAGUCGACACCACAGAGCGAAGAUCCCAAACCAGAGGAGACACCGGAAUCAAGUGAUCCUCCCCCUCAAAACCAGGAAAAGGUGGAAGACGGGCAACGCUCCACUGAGGCUGCUGAUAGCUCGGCACCAGCUGAAAGCUCAGGUCCAGGUGAUAGCUCGGCACUAGCAGACGGCUCAGGUCCAGGUGACAACUUGGCACUAGCAGACGGCUCAGGUCCAGGUGACAACUCGGCACCAGCAGACGGCUCAGGUCCAGGUGACAACUCGGCACCAGCAGACGGCUCGGCUCCGGCUGACAGCACAGGUCCAGGUGACAGCUCGGCGCUAGCCAAUGGCUCGGCUCUGGCUGAGAGUUUGGCCACAGGCAACAGUGGCGAGGGGACGGAGUCCAGCGAGAGAACUCAAGAAGAGGCUGACAUUUCUAUGGAUGUGGAGCAGGAAGAGAAGAAAGAAGAACAAGAAGCAGACCAGUAGUGAUCGUCUAACAAUCAAUCUUUUUUUUUUAAAUGUGUUGAUUAUUCCAUUGUAGAAUAUAUGUGUAGAUUGAUACGAAUACAAAAAGCAAUAAAGAAACUGUUAUUACCAACACAUGUAUUUAAUUAUCAUUCUUAUUUAUGUAUCUCUGUCCCAGUUAUUCCUGCAACACAUGCAAUAAUGCAGAUUACAACACUGAUUGACUCAUUAUAUUGUACAAGCUCUCCACAUUGAGGCCACGUGUGAUGUUUUGAAAGAAUGACUGUGCACAUUCCCUCCAGUGACCGUUGACCUGAAGGAGGAGGACCAACAGCGCUUGUGCAAAAUGACAGUUACGUAUUUCAUGUUUUACUCCGGUAUCAGCCGUGCAGACUGCAUGUCUGUGCCGCUUAUCACACGCAGCUGCGUCACAUCACGUCGUCUGAUAGAUAUCUCGGUGCCAAACAAAGCUGGGGUUUACUUUUUUGGGGGGAGGAACACCAGCUGUAGGUGGGAUUUAAACGCGCGUUGAUCCGCGGCGCGUUCACACAGCAGCAGCAGCCGCACCCCGUGGUGCUUUGACCGGGGCGGAGGGGAGAGACGGAGACGGAGAUGCAGCCGCAGACGGGAAUCAUCGGCAGCGCGGUGGCUGCAGGCUGCGGCCUCUUCGCAGCGACCAUGAACUUCUUCACCGACAUGUUUCUGACUCCACCGCUGAAGGCAACGCUCAGAAGUUUGGAGGAGGCUGAGCUGAAAACUUUGAAAGGAGGUAACUUGUUUAAGACGUUAUGUGAGGGUUUAUGAUUUCAUAAUCUGGUUUAAGGGGGGUGAAGC